AGAUUGAACGCUGGCGGCAUGCCUUACACAUGCAAGUCGAACGGCAGCACGGGAGCAAUCCUGGUGGCGAGUGGCGAACGGGUGAGUAAUACAUCGGAACGUGCCCAAUCGUGGGGGAUAACGCAGCGAAAGCUGUGCUAAUACCGCAUAAGAUCUACGGAUGAAAGCAGGGGAUCGCAAGACCUUGCGCGAAUGGAGCGGCCGAUGGCAGAUUAGGUAGUUGGUGAGGUAAAGGCUCACCAAGCCUUCGAUCUGUAGCUGGUCUGAGAGGACGACCAGCCACACUGGGACUGAGACACGGCCCAGACUCCUACGGGAGGCAGCAGUGGGGAAUUUUGGACAAUGGGCGAAGCCUGAGUCCAGCCAUGCCGCGUGCGAGGGUGAAGGCC
rnacentral:rRNA from 1 species